AGUGAACGCUGGCGGUAGGCCUAACACAUGCAAGUCGAACGGCAGCACAGUAAGAGCUUGCUCUUACGGGUGGCGAGUGGCGGACGGGUGAGGAAUACAUCGGAAUCUACUUUUUCGUGGGGGAUAACGUAGGGAAACUUACGCUAAUACCGCAUACGACCUACGGGUGAAAGCAGGGGAUCUUCGGACCUUGCGCGAUUGAAUGAGCCGAUGUCGGAUUAGCUAGUUGGCGGGGUAAAGGCCCACCAAGGCGACGAUCCGUAGCUGGUCUGAGAGGAUGAUCAGCCACACUGGAACUGAGACACGGUCCAGACUCCUACGGGAGGCAGCAGUGGGGAAUAUUGGACAAUGGGCGCAAGCCUGAUCCAGCCAUACCGUGUGGGUUAAGAAGGCCUUCGGGUUGUAAAGCCCUUUUGUUGGGAAAGAAAAGCAGCAGGUUAAUACCCCGCUGUUCUGACGGUACCCAAAGAAUAAGCACCGGCUAACUUCGUG
rnacentral:rRNA from 1 species